UACGGAGGGUGCGAGCGUUAAUCGGAAUUACUGGGCGUAAAGCGCACGUAGGCGGUCAGGCAAGUCGGGUGUGAAAGCCCUGGGCUCAACCUGGGAAUUGCAUUCGAAACUAUCUGACUCGAGUAUGGGAGAGGGAAGCGGAAUUUCCGGUGUAGCGGUGAAAUGCGUAGAUAUCUGGAGGAACACCGGUGGCGAAGGCGGCAUCCUGGACCGGCAUUGACGCUGAGGCGCGAAAGCUAGGGGAGCAAACGGG
rnacentral:rRNA from 1 species